GUGAUCCUACGGGGCGCAGCAGUCGGGAAUAUUGCGCAAUGGAAGAGACUCUGACGCAGUGACGCCGCGUAUAGGAAGAAGGUUUUCGGAUUGUAAACUAUUGUCGUUAGGGAAGAUACAAGACAGUACCUAAGGAGGAAGCCCCGGCUAACUAUGUGCCAGCAGCCGCGGUAAUACAUAGGGGGCAAGCGUUAUCCGGAUUUAUUGGGUGUAAAGGGUGCGUAGACGGAGAAACAAGUUGGUUGUGAAAUCCCUCGGCUCAACUGAGGAACUGCAACCAAAACUAUUUCCGUUGAGUGUCGGAG
rnacentral:rRNA from 1 species